UAGGGAAUCUUCCGCAAUGGACGCAAGUCUGACGGAGCAACGCCGCGUGAGUGAAGAAGGAUUUCGGUUCGUAAAACUCUGUUGUUAGAGAAGAACAGCGCAUAGAGUAACUGUUAUGCGUGUGACGGUAUCUAACCAGAAAGCCACGGCUAACUACUUGCCAGCAGCCGCGGUAAUACGUAGGUGGCAAGCGUUGUCCGGAUUUAUUGGGCGUAAAGCGAGCGCAGGCGGUCAAUUAAGUCUGAUGUGAAAGCCCCCGGCUCAACCGGGGAGGGUCAUUGGAAACUGGUUGAAUUGAGUGCAGAAGAGGAGAGUGGAAUUCCAUGUGUAGCGGUGAAAUGCGUAGAUAUAUGGAGGAACACCAGUGGCGAAGGCGACUCUCUGGUCUGUAACUGACGCUGAGGCUCGAAAGCGUGGGUAGCAAACAGG
rnacentral:rRNA from 1 species